AUUAUCCCAAGUAGCACGGGGCCCGAGAAAUCCCGUGUGAAUCUGUCAGGACCACCUGAUAAGCCUAAAUACUCCCAGAUGACCGAUAGCGGACAAGUACCGUGAGGGAAAGGUGAAAAGUACCCCGGGAGGGGAGUGAAAUAGAACCUGAAACCGGAUGCGUACAAGCAGUCAGAGCCCGCAAGGGUGAUGGCGUACCUUUUGUAUAAUGGGUCAGCGACUUAGUUUAUCUAGCAAGCUUAAGCCGUUAGGUGUAGGCGUAGCGAAAGCGAGUCUUAAUAGGGCGCAUGAGUUCGUGGGAUCAGACCCGAAACCGAGUGAUCUAGGCAUGGCCAGGUUGAAGGUAAGGUAACACUUACUGGAGGACCGAACCCACAUCCGUUGAAAAGGAUCGGGAUGAGCUGUGCCUAGGGGUGAAAGGCCAAUCAAACUCGGAUAUAGCUGGUUCUCCGCGAAAUCUAUUUAGGUAGAGC
rnacentral:rRNA from 1 species